AACUGAGGGUAGCGGAGAAAUUCCAAUCGAACCUGGAGAUAGCUGGUUCUCUCCGAAAUAGCUUUAGGGCUAGCCUCAAGUGAUGAUUAUUGGAGGUAGAGCACUGUUUGGACGAGGGGCCCCUCUCGGGUUACCGAAUUCAGACAAACUCCGAAUGCCAAUUAAUUUAACUUGGGAGUCAGAACAUGGGUGAUAAGGCCCGUGUUCGAAAGGGAAACAGCCCAGACCACCAGCUAAGGUCCCAAAAUAUAUGUUAAGUGGAAAAGGAUGUGGCGUUGCCCAGACAACUAGGAUGUUGGCUUAGAAGCAGCCAUCAUUUAAAGAGUGCGUAAUAGCUCACUAGUCGAGUGACACUGCGCCGAAAAUGUACCGGGGCUAAACAUAUUACCGAAGCUGU
rnacentral:rRNA from 1 species